rnacentral:lncRNA from 1 species
AUGAAGCUGCUGUUGAACUCCCUGUUCUCCAGCCCCUGCCACUGGGGCCAAACACCUCCUGCUAUUUUUUUUUUUCUUCCAGCCAGGUGGAUUUUCAGUUCCCCUCUCAAUUCAAGGGUCGAAAAACCUCGAUGGGGGGUAGAAUGGGGGGGUGAAAAAAAACAAAAACCCAACCAAAAAUUCACAUGCUUCUCCUUUUGUCCUUCCAGUGUGCUCUGGGUGCUAAUUGACCAGCACAUAGCCACCGUGCUGGGGAUCCACAGCCUCCAUCAUCUCACAAUCAAAGAGUCCGGGCAGCUCAGGCAGGGGCAGCGAGUCGUAGCUGGGCUGUGCCUCUGCAGAGCUGCUCUGGCUCUCAGGCACGGCCCCGCUGCUCGGGGACAGGUGGCACUGCUCGGCAGAGGGGACAGCAGCGAAGGCCUGGGCUGGGUCCUCCUCUGCCUCUCCUUCAGUCUCGAUUCCUUCAUCAAUGGAGGUUUCCAUCAUGCUGGAGGGCAGGGACUGGCACCCCUUCCUCAUCACCACGGGGGGCACGGGGUCCAGCAGGCAGCCAUUCACCUGGGGGCACAGAGACAGCUCUCUUUGGGCCCAGCUCUCUUUGUGCCCACCUUUGUUUUGUGCCCACUUUGUGCCCACCUUUCUUUGUGCCCACCCUGUUUGUGCCCAGUUUUGUUUAGGCCCAGCUCUGUUUGUGCCCAGUUUCGUUCUGUGCUCUCCUUUCUUUGUGCCCAGCCCAGUUUGUGCCCAGUUUUGUUUAGGCCCAGCUUUCUUUGUGCCCAGCCCAGUUUGUGCCCAGUUUUGUUCUGUGCUCACCUUUCUUUGUGCCCAGCCCAGUUUGUGCCCAGUUUUGUUCCAUGCCCCAGAAGCAGGAGCUCCUUGGCCUGAGGCCACUUGGGAUCUUUAACUCUGCUGAGUUGAGUAAAGCUUGCCAUGGACAGUUCUUAAUUUCCCAUUUACAUUCCCUGAACACUCAAUCCCUGCAACUAAAUAUUUUUAUUCUAAAUAUUCUUAUUCCCACAGUUCUGUGCUUUCCAGGACUGGUUUUCUGGUGUUUUUUGGUUGGUUUUUUUUUUUUUUUUUGGUCUUUUUUUGAGUUAUUAAAACCUUUGCCAGCUUAGUUCACAAGUAUAAAAUAUUUCUGGAAUGUUCAAUACUGCUGUUCCCCCCUUCCUAUACCUACUGUGCUCAUUUAUCAGGCUCAGAUAAACACCAGGAAAAUCCCCAGCCUUGCAUUUCACCCUUGCAGGGCUGUGCUCAGCACUAACUCCAUAAAUGCACCUUUCCCAGCACAGCUCCACUGAUCAAUGCUGCUCCCCUGCAAACACAGGUUGUCUGGAGAAGCUGUGGAAUCUCCCUCCUUGGAUUUACCCAGCCUGGCAAAGCCCUGAGCAGCCUCUCAGUUUGAACCAGACCUUUGGAGGCACCUCCCCAGCCUAAACUGCUCCUGGGAUUUGAAUUCCCCUCCCCAGCCCAAACUGCUCCUGGGAUUUUAGUUCACCUCCCCAGCCUAAACUGCUCCUGGGAUUUUAGUUCACCUCCCCAGCCUAAACUGCUCCUGGGAUUUGAGUUCACCUCCCCAGCCUAAACUGCUCCUGGGAUUUGAAUUCCCCUCCCCAGCCCAAACUGCUCCUGGGAUUUUAAUUCCCCUCCCCAGCCUAAACUGCUCCUGGGAUUUGAAUUCACCUUCCCAGCCUAAACUGCUCCUGGGAUUUUAAUUCUGGUUUUAUCCUCCAAGCCAGUUUGCCAUGGAUCCUCCUGUACCUUAACCAAUUCUUUGCCAUAUUAAUUUACAUGGGUUUUAGGCAAAACCAAAAAUU